GAGUUUGAUCUUGGCUCAGAUUGAACGCUGGCGGCAUGCCUUACACAUGCAAGUCGAACGGCAGCACGGGAGCUUGCUCCUGGUGGCGAGUGGCGAACGGGUGAGUAAUGCAUCGGAACGUAUCCUGGAGUGGGGGAUAACGUAGCGAAAGUUACGCUAAUACCGCAUAUUCUGUGAGCAGGAAAGCGGGGGACCUUCGGGCCUCGCGCUCUUGGAGCGGCCGAUGUCGGAUUAGCUAGUUGGUGAGGUAAAGGCUCACCAAGGCGACGAUCCGUAGCAGGUCUGAGAGGAUGAUCUGCCACACUGGAAAUGAGACACGGUCCAGACUCCUACGGGAGGCAGCAGUGGGGAAUUUUGGACAAUGGGGGCAACCCUGAUCCAGCCAUGCCGCGUGAGUGAAGAAGGCC
rnacentral:rRNA from 1 species